CCCACGCCGCGCCGCGCCGGCGCCGGGCGGCAGGAUGGGCUGUAUCCAAAGCAUCACCUGCAAGGCGCGGAUCCGGCGCGAGAACAUCGUGGUGUACGAUGUGUGCGCCACCAUCGACCAGUGCCCCACGCGCAUAGAGGAGACCUCGCCCAUCGUCCUGCGCUACAAGACCCCCUACUUCAAAGCCUCGGCCCGCGUGGUCAUGCCCCCCAUCCCCCGCCACGAGACCUGGGUGGUGGGCUGGAUCCAGGCGUGCAACCAGAUGGAGUUCUUCAACACCUACAGCGACCUGGGCAUGUCAAGCUGGGAACUACCUGACUUGAGGGAAGGGAGAGUAAAAGCCAUCAGUGACUCAGAUGGGGUGAGCUACCCUUGGUACGGGAACACCACGGAAACUGUGACCCUGGUUGGUCCCACGAACAAGAUCUCCAGGUUCUCCGUCAGCAUGAAUGACAACUUCUACCCAAGUGUGACAUGGGCAGUGCCAGUGAGUGACAGCAAUGUGCCACUGCUCACAAGGAUCAAGAGGGACCAAAGUUUCACUACCUGGCUGGUGGCCAUGAAUACCACCACGAAGGAGAAGAUCAUUCUACAGACCAUCAAGUGGAGGAUGAGGGUGGACAUUGAGGUGGACCCUCUUCAGCUCUUGGGGCAACGGGCCCGGCUGGUGGGCAGGACUCAGCAGGAGCAGCCCCGGAUCCUGAGCCGGAUGGAACCCAUCCCCCCUAAUGCACUAGUGAAACCCAAUGCCAACGAUGCCCAGGUCCUCAUGUGGAGGCCCAAGCGAGGACCACCUCUGGUUGUGAUCCCUCCUAAGUAGACGCAGACUGGCCUGACUGUGUGCAGAGCACAUGGCGCUAUGACAUGCAGUGAGGUUGCCAGGGGUGGCAGGAGCCAAACUGAGUUUCUGAGCCAAAGCAGACCUCUUGGUUUGCCAGCCUUUGCAGCCACUUACGAAGAGCAGGCCUGCUUCUGGGGCGGCAGAACCAUAAUCCUUAGGAAAAGUCCCUUCCUUUUAGGAAUAAAGAAAUCACUGAUUUGACAGACUUGCUGUGAUUACCAUGCAAGUAGCCAUAUUUCGGAGCUGACCAGGAUGAUUCUUUUACCUGAACUAUUGACCAUUUCUUUCCUGUGAGAUGCAGGGGAUGGAAACAAAAUUAAACAGUGCCUGUGGCAAAUGCUGCUUUCCAACCAAUUAGAAGUGGGAGUGAAAACAUCCACAUCAGGUGUUUGUCACCUAGUAGGACAAGGCACGUCCAGCAAGCAGAACCACAUGGCAGAAACUAAAGAGGAGGAAGUGAGCCAUGGCUGGUGGUUCUAGAAGCGGAAGACCUGGACAGCUGAUUUCCCAUUAAAACGAGUGCCAUUCUAACUAUCUCCUAGCCAUCCUCCCACCCCAUGACCUGUAGCCCCUCCUACCCCACGACGGGUCAUGCAGCACUCCCCAUGGACUGGCUGGGCUGGCUGCUUGGCCCUCAGUGGGCUGCGCUGAAGUGGGAGCUGUGCCUGCUGUAUCUUUGUGUGUGAAAAGAUUGGGUCCAUCCAGAUCUCAAGUCCAUCCCUGACCCUCUGAGUGAAGCUGCCCAGGGAGAAAGAGCUGGUCAACCUGGACUUCAGACACCUAACAUGGCCCAGCCCUGGUUUCCAAACUCUUGCCUUCCUUCCCUACGCUUUUGGGUGGGAAACAGCGGGAAGGCGUAUCUCCCCUUUUCCUCCCUUCUCCACGUUGGGGGGCCAAUAUGGAUACUCUUCUCGAGAUUUCUCUGAUCCUUGGAGCUAGGGCCAAAGCAGUCCUGCUUCCCCGGCAUGACCAGGCUGGGUGUCUUCAGGGGACCAAGGGCAAAGUGCAUGUCAGCAGGAUUGAUGGGGAGAGGGGAGAGCCACCCUAAGAGGGCAAAAACGGUGUGCAUUGUUUUAUUUAUUGGUUUAUUGAUUGGCUUGCUUUCUGGUUGAUUCAUUUAGGAAAUAUGUAUUUAUUAUACAGCAGAAAACCCACUUCCAUCUUUGAGGCAUCCAGCCCCAGAAUCUAUCUUCUUGGCCCCAUAGAGCACAGUGAGUGACUCCUCUCUGAAGCCACAGAAAAAAGGGGGCGGGAUUCUCUCUCUGUACCCAAACACUUCCACCCCAACCCGAUUUUCAGCCAGAAGAGGGGUUAGAAACCACCAGUUCUAGUCAUGAUAAAGCCACACAAAUCAGCAAACAGAGGGUCAGCUGUCCAAGUAGAAGCUCCCAGCAGCCCAUCCCCUCUCCCCGGCCCUCUAUGCAUUGUGGGGGGGCAUCUCGGAUCUAGACUUCUCCUUCUGCUCUGGGGCCACCUUCCAAAGGCCACAUGCACAUGAGAGAUGCCUGAGGAGUUUAAAAAUCAUCCAUACCCUGUCCCCUCCCCAACUCAUUACAGCAGAAUCUGGGGCUAGAGCCUAGACGUGGGCAUUUUUAAAAGUACCCUGUAUGAUCCUAAUGUGAAGCUAGGCUUGGGAAGCGCUUCUAGUGUUUUUUCCCUUCAUCCCUCCCGUCCAUUCACAUCCUUUAUCCUCUACUUCCGGAACUUUCUGCCUCACCAAGAAUGGGAGCGGCCACUGGGGAAUGAGAACUCUCUUCCCACUUCUCCAGCCCCUCCUCCUCACUCAACCUACCCAUCAGGUCAACCAGCCUGAGUAGAUCCCCAGAGAGUUGGCAGGUCCCAGCAUUUUGCACCCCAAGGCUGGUGCCUGCACCCAGCCCAGGGGCUCUCAAACCGUGCCCAGCUUUCCUAGGAACAAAACCUACUCCCCGCCAGAUUCUCUCUCCACCUGCCCUGCACUCCCCAACUCCAGAGGUUUAAAGAGCACUUUGGUGACUCCGAAUCCCAAUCCUGAUGGGAAGGCCUGUGCCGAGUGCUGUUAACGCCGGCCAUUUCUGCAGAGCCGCCUGAAGUGAAUGAGGGCGACGGUGACAGAGAAAGGAGUCUCAUCACCCCGAGCCAGUCCUUCCCCCAACAACUGCGCGGCAUCCAAAUCCCAAACGGCUGAGAAGCGACAUCUCCCCCUUCGCACUUACAAGCUCUCCAUUGCUGAGUGUGAGUGAAUGCGUGUGUGAAUGUGUGCAUGUGUGUAAUGUUCAUGUGCUGCACAAAACCAUCAAGAUCUAUAGAGAUGUGCCAUGUUUACAGUGGGCCCAGAUGAAUUCCGUAUUAGAUAUAUACACCAGAAUUCUGUAUUAGGUAUAAACAAACUGUUUUACACACACACACACACACACACACAGCCUAGGGAAACCUGGGAUGUGGGAAGAGGUGUUUUUUAGUACUCGAUCUCCCUCAUCUGGGUAAUUUCCUGGCGCGAGUACUAGUCCACACACACCCUCCGCUGCCCAGCCUGUCCCCUCCUGUGUUUCAUACCACCAAGCCUUCGUUCCCCCAUUCCCCAUUAGUCAGAAUGUCCCUGCCCUACGUCCCAUCUCUCAGGGUCCUCCUCUCUGACAGGUGACAGACGGUUCAGUCGGUGGGUGCUAAAGAGUUGAGUGUUACCCCUUCCAGGUGACAUUUGUGUUUUAAUUGGGGCUACAGAUAAUGCCUUAAUCCGAAGGAGAGGCUCUCAUGGUGGGCAUCUCAGGCACAGCAGUGGGCCAGUAAGGGAGAUUAUUUUUUAUCAGGGGAGCUUUUUAGAGCACCCCCCAACCCUACCUAUCUCUAAGAUCAAUACUUCAUAAGUACAUGAGCACAAGAAAGGACACUGACCUAAGUACAAUUUCCAGAAUGUUGACACACCUCCCUUAUGUUGGCCCGAACUUUGCAAGUGAAAAAAAUUAGAAGAAGGAACAGCUAAAUUAAUUGAAACCUCACUGGGAAAUGUAGCCUAUAUUUCACUGGCUGCCAGCCCCCUGGCCCCAUCUCCCUUCUGCUCCUUCUCUUUUCUGCGACCACCCCCAUACGUUAAUUUACUCAAAAGUUUCCUCUCUGUGUCCCCCUCCCCCUUCCCCUCCAACAAAUGUAUUUCCUUCCCUGUUUCCCGUUUGGAAUUGUGCUGUUUUUCCGUGUUGUCUGGACAAAGAGCAGGUGAAAAGCAUGAGCAUGUGUGUAUCGCUUGGAAGAAAGAGAAACCAGGUAUUCUGCUGCAGUUUGGAGAAAAAGCCACCGGAGGAAGAGACGAAAGUUGGCUCUGCAGAGUGCCUUAAAAAUGACUUUAAUUAGGAAAUUCUGAGUCGU